rnacentral:lncRNA from 1 species
GGGAGCAAAUGUGGAGGCAGAAAAGCUACUGCAGAGGUGAUAACAUUAGCUAAAAGAUCACAGUAUCUGGGGAAAGGGUGGUUGCGGUAGAGAGAGUAAAAAGUAGUUGGUUUCAGAAUACAUUUUAAUGGAAAUGGAAUAGCAGACUGAUGAUUGGAUAAUGGGAAUUGAGGGAAAUCAAGGAAUCCAGAAUGACUUGUAAAUUUUUGUUCUAAGAAAUUGAGUGGAUAAUGAUGGCAUUUACUUAAAUAGCAAAUACUUGUGGAGGUAAAUUCUGGAUAUGUGGGGCAACCAAGGGUUUUGUUGAUGCCAUGUAAACUUUGGCAUGCCAAUUAGAUACGAAGAGAUACUGAGUGGAAAGCUGGAUACUCAGGGGACCACAGUCUUCUGUUUCCUGGAUUUCAGGUCCCUUUUAAACUGAAGCAUAGUGAGAACAAGUGUAAAGCACAACACAGACGGAAGAUUGCACCUUAGCUCACUGCCCCGUGCACCCCGGUUACACCGUCUAAGAAAACACUCUGGAUUCAAUCCUUGGAAAAUUUGUCUCCAUGAGGUCAUACAGCUGCUUGAGGUUGCUCGGAGAGUAAGAAGCAGAAUGAGAACUAGAACAGAAGCUCACUUUGGCCUGAAGGCUCAUGUGCUGAGCAUCUUCCCUUGUCUGUCUCCACCCCUAGCCUGGUGCCCAGCAUGUAGAAGACCUUCAUCCUAGAUGCAAUGGGAUUAAACUUGGAGAAAAUGGGAUUAAACUUGGACAAACACUACCUAUUUGGACUUGUGAUGAUGGCUUUCAAACUUCUUAAAGCAAUGAAGUAUUUUUUCCAGAAGAAACCUUACACAAGAAGCCCAGCACACUGAGUCAAGCAUAUGUAGGUGGAAGAUAUCUGGUUGAGACCAAGUAGAGAUAAACCUGUAGAUUCAACUGUGCCACCACAGUGAAUUCUAAGAAUCCACUGACUGUGAUCUGUAAGCUCCUACUCCACAGGAGGUCAGGGCACACAGCUUGAAACCGGAAGGCAGAAGAGUGACAGGGAAGGGUCAUGGACUCUGAAAUUAGAGCUAUCUGUGUUUUAAUACUAGUUCCAAUAGGCACAUGGUCUUGGAUAAAUGGUUUAAAUUAUCUGAGUCUCAAUUUCUUUCUCUGCAAAAAGGGAUGAUUAGUACAUAUGUAAUAGGGUUUUUAUAGAAAAUUGUAUAACUUGUUAAACACACAUGUACUAAGUGCUUGGUGCCCAGUAUGCACUGAAUAAAUGCUAGCUCCUUGCCUUUCAUCUCUAUGACCCUUCCCAAAUCUCUCAGCCCCAUAUUGCUUCAUGUAGUGUGUGUAUAUUUGGGAAAAUUUGUGUGCAUAUUUACAGAUGGGAUCCUACUCUUCUAUUGACAGACUGUCUUUUCAGAUGUGCCUUACUUUCAUUGCAUUGGUUUUUCAACUGAAAGUGAACAUAAAGGUUUUAAGCAUGCCUAGGUCUUAUCUUUUUGGUCAAAUAUCUAACACCCUCAAUAACAGUUGUAAAUCAUUCUUUUGUAAUUUGAUCAUUCAUUUUUAUAAAGUAAAACACAACUGCCCACUGUAAAAAUAGACUUCAUUUGCUCUUUUCUUCCAGUGCAGCAAAUGACAGACACUUUAAGAACACACAUUUAACUUCAGCAAACAAAUCAUGUAUAUUUUAGACAUAACUGUCAAGUAUAGAAAUGAUACCAUCCAACUUACCAAACUAUCACAUAAGAAUGCCCAAUAGCAGACAUUAGGAUGGGGCAAAACUGAAAGAAGGAUUGACUUCAUCAAACCCUUGAUGACAUACAAAAUGGAAACCAUUCAAGUUCAACUGAAGAAAACGAUAUCCCACAAGAUCUAGGGGUAAAAAGCAGACAAAGUUUAGGAAUGAAUUUAAACUACUGACUUACGUGUUGUCAGGAGUCUAUUUCUAUUCCUCAAUUUUACUCCUUUUUGU